rnacentral:snRNA from 1 species
GUGCUUGCUUCAGCAGCACAAAUACUAAAACUGAAAUGAUACAGAGAAGAUUAGCAUGGUCCCUUCGCAAAGAGAUACACAAAUUUGUGAAACAUUCCAUAUUUUA